rnacentral:rRNA from 1 species
GCGAGAAAACUUUGCAAUGUGCGAAAGCACGACAAGGUUAAUCCGAGUGGUUUCUGCUAAAGAAACCUUUUGUCAGUCCCAGAAACACUAACGAAUAAGGGGUGGGCAAGUUCUGGUGUCAGCCGCCGCGGUAAAACCAGCACCUCAAGUGGUCAGGAUGAUUAUUGGGCCUAAAGCAUCCGUAGCUCGUUUUGUAAGUUUUCGGUUAAAUCCAUGCGCUUAACGUAUGGGCUGCCGGGAAUACUGCAUAACUAGGAAGUGGGAGAGGUAGACGGUACUCGGUAGGAAGGGGUAAAAUCCUUUGAUCUAUUGAUGACCACCUGUGGCGAAGGCGGUCUACCAGAACACGUUCGACGGUGAGGGAUGAAAGCUGGGGGAGCAAACCGGAUUAGAUACCCUGGUAGUCCCUGAGCGGGCUGGCAAGGCGCAU